AAGACUAUACUUUCAGGGAUCAUUUCUAUAGUAUGUUACUAGAGAAGUUUCUCUGAUUGUGUAGAGUACCGAAAACCACGAGGAGGAGCUGAGUGGUCUCUCCUGAGCGUGAAGCUGGUUCUGGGUGUUGCUUUAUUGCCUUUUUUUUUAAGAGAGAGAGAAUUUUAAUAUUUAUUUUUUAGUUUUCGGCGGACAUAACAUCUUUGU